rnacentral:rRNA from 1 species
AGUGAACGCUGGCGGUAGGCCUAACACAUGCAAGUCGAACGGCAGCACAGUAAGAGCUUGCUCUUACGGGUGGCGAGUGGCGGACGGGUGAGGAAUACAUCGGAAUCUACUUUUUCGUGGGGGAUAACGUAGGGAAACUUACGCUAAUACCGCAUACGACCUACGGGUGAAAGCAGGGGAUCUUCGGACCUUGCGCGAUUGAAUGAGCCGAUGUCGGAUUAGCUAGUUGGCGGGGUAAAGGCCCACCAAGGCGACGAUCCGUAGCUGGUCUGAGAGGAUGAUCAGCCACACUGGAACUGAGACACGGUCCAGACUCCUACGGGAGGCAGCAGUGGGGAAUAUUGGACAGUGGGCGCAAGCCUGAUCCAGCCAUACCGCGUGGGUGAAGAAGGCCUUCGGGUUGUAAAGCCCUUUUGUUGGGCAAGAAAAGCAGCAGGUUAAUACCCCGCUGUUCUGACGGUACCCAAAGAAUAAGCACCGGCUAACUUCGU